GAUGAAGAACGUAGCGAAAUGCGAUAAGUAAUGUGAAUUGCAGAAUUCAGUGAAUCAUCGAAUCUUUGAACGCACAUUGCGCCCUCUGGUAUUCCGGGGGGCAUGCCUGUUCGAGCGUCAUUACAACCCUCAAGCUUUGCUUGGUAUUGGACAUUGCCAGUUUCUGGCAGGUCUUAAAAUCAGUGGCUGUGCCAUUUGGCUUCAAGCGUAGUAAUUCUUCUCGCUUUGGAGAUCCAGGUGGUUACUUGCCAAUAACCCCCAAUUUUUUCAGGUUGACCUCGGAUCAGGUAGGGAUACCCGCUGAACUUAAGCAUAUCAAUAAGCGGAGGA
rnacentral:misc_RNA from 1 species